UUGAACGCUGGCGGCAGGCCUAACACAUGCAAGUCGAACGGUAACAGGAAACAGCUUGCUGUUUCGCUGACGAGUGGCGGACGGGUGAGUAAUGUCUGGGAAACUGCCUGAUGGAGGGGGAUAACUACUGGAAACGGUAGCUAAUACCGCAUAACGUCGCAAGACCAAAGAGGGGGACCUUCGGGCCUCUUGCCAUCGGAUGUGCCCAGAUGGGAUUAGCUUGUUGGUGGGGUAACGGCUCACCAAGGCGACGAUCCCUAGCUGGUCUGAGAGGAUGACCAGCCACACUGGAACUGAGACACGGUCCAGACUCCUACGGGAGGCAGCAGUGGGGAAUAUUGCACAAUGGGCGCAAGCCUGAUGCAGCCAUGCCGCGUGUAUGAAGAAGGCCUUCGGGUUGUAAAGUACUUUCAGCGGGGAGGAAGGGAGUAAAGUUAAUACCUUUGCUCAUUGACGUUACCCGCAGAAGAAGCACCGGCUAACUCCGUGCCAGCAGCCGCGGUAAUACGGAGGGUGCAAGCGUUAAUCGGAAUUACUGGGCGUAAAGCGCACGCAGGCGGUUUGUUAAGUCAGAUGUGAAAUCCCCGGGCUCAACCUGGGAACUGCAUCUGAUACUGGCAAGCUUGAGUCUCGUAGAGGGGGGUAGAAUUCCAGGUGUAGCGGUGAAAUGCGUAGAGAUCUGGAGGAAUACCGGUGGCGAAGGCGGCCCCCUGGACGAAGACUGACGCUCAGGUGCGAAAGCGUGGGGAGCAAACAGGAUUAGAUACCCUGGUAGUCCACGCCGUAAACGAUGUCGACUUGGAGGUUGUGCCCUUGAGGCGUGGCUUCCGGAGCUAACGCGUUAAGUCGACCGCCUGGGGAGUACGGCCGCAAGGUUAAAACUCAAAUGAAUUGACGGGGGCCCGCACAAGCGGUGGAGCAUGUGGUUUAAUUCGAUGCAACGCGAAGAACCUUACCAAGGCUUGACAUUGAUUGACCGCUCCAGAGAUGGAGCUUUCCCUUCGGGGACAUGAAAACAGGUGGUGCAUGGCUGUCGUCAGCUCGUGUUGUGAAAUGUUGGGUUAAGUCCCGCAACGAGCGCAACCCCUGUCCUUAGUUGCCAGCAUGUAGAGAUGGGAACUCUAAGGAGACUGCCGUAGAUAAUACGGAGGAAGGUGGGGAUGACGUCAAAUCAUCAUGCCCCUUAUGUUCUGGGCUACACACGUGCUACAAUGGCGCAUACAAAGAGAAGCGACCUCGCGAGAGCAAGCGGACCUCAUAAAGUGCGUCGUAGUCCGGAUUGGAGUCUGCAACUCGACUCCAUGAAGUCGGAAUCGCUAGUAAUCGUGGAUCAGAAUGCCACGGUGAAUACGUUCCCGGGCCUUGUACACACCGCCCGUCACACCAUGGGAGUGGGUUGCAAAAGAAGUAGGUAGCUUAACCUUCGGGAGGGCGCUUACCACUUUGUGAUUCAUGACUGGGGUG
rnacentral:rRNA from 1 species